CACAAGUCAGAGAGUGGCAUGGGAAGCCACAAUAAAACUUCUUACAUUGCCUGAAUGAGCCCCAGGGACUUAUAUACAAUCAAUGUUAUCAUCCUCCCUAAUAGCGCAAGGUACAAAAGCUUUGAUUCAAGCAAUAGGAAGAAAACACCUCAAAAAAAAUUAUGCCACACUAAAAGGGUGCUAAAAAACACAACAAUGGUUAUAGUAGCACCUUCAAUGAACCACAUGUGGGAUGGAGAGUUCAACAAGUGGGAGAAAAAUACAAAGGGCCUGGGCAUGGGUGUAGGGAAAUGUGAGCAUUGGGUUCUAUAGCCAAGAAACAAAAAAUGGGGGCUACAAGAAAGAUACUUUCAUCCAAGAAAGAAGGUUUUUUUACUCACUGUUACAUCAUAAAAAUCUCAGAGAAUUUCAGAUGGAAGUGCUUAAAGAAAAUAGGCCAAGGCUAUUCCAAAUUGCAUGGAGAUACAAGGCACAUAAGGGCAAGUGGAUAGUAAUGAAAUGGAGCAUUAAAAUAGACUAAUAUGAGCUAAGGAAGAAGAUUUACCUCUUUGUAAAUGGAACUUAAAGUAAGAAAAGGAAGUCCAAAUGUUGAGGAGAAUAGAGUUAUUGUGAUGCUAAGUUUAGGCCUUCAAAUUGGUGUAGAGACAAGCUUCCAUACUAUGCACUUGAUCUCACACAAUUUUCUCUUUUGAGGAAAAUGAACUCAAGGAACUCUCCAAGGUGGGGCAUGCCACUCCUUUCUUUCUCUUUCUC
rnacentral:lncRNA from 1 species